AAGAAGGCAGUGUUCAGGCCCUCGGCUGUCUCUGUAGAAAUGGUGGUAGUAGGAAAGAGAGUCCAAAGGGAGAUUAUUACGUUUUUAAGAGUUAUUUUUAAAGUUUUCAAUUUCACAUCAUUUUUAAAUUUUAAUUUUCAACAAAAUUCUAUAUGUUCAAUUGCAUAUGGUUUAGAAAUUAAAGCUAUUUCCGACUGUAGGGUCUUGUUUGCCAUGGGAUUUUCCCUAAUUAUCCACAUCUUGUAUGAAUGUAGCACUUCUGUUACAAAUGAUCACGGAAUACUGAUAUGCCACUAUGAAUUGAAGCCACAGUCUGUAUUAGGAUUCCUUCUGCUGUUUGUGGAGAGGAUAUCACAUAGUAACAUCCUUGUAGUAACACACAGAACACGUUCACACCUUUAAGUAUGUAUUCUACCAAUCACUCUGCCACUGCCAGCCACUCCUCAUAUUUGCCAUCUCUAUAGCUUUCUUUUCAGCAUAUGGCAUGGUUAGAACCAGAGUGCCUAGCUGUUUUAUAAACACUUCUCCACAGAGUAAUAUGCAGUUAGAGGCCAUGCCUAUUGUUUUGUUGAUUGGUAGCUCAUUAAAAUGAAUAGUGUUUCACUCUAUAAGUGUGUCAUAAAUUAUCUAUUUGUUUACUCCAAAGUUGCUUUAAGUUUAACCAAAGUGGCUAUGGAUAUUCCUUUUUUUUAAAGGAUGCAUUUAUUUUUAUGUUUAUAAGAGGGUUUUUGUUUUUGUUUUUGUUUUUGCCUAGAUAUGUUUAAAUAUACCACAUGCAUACCUGGUUCCUCAUAAGGAACAUGUACGUCAUAAGAGGACAUCAGAUCUCUGGAGCUGGAGUUAUAGACAAGUAGGAGUCACUUCACUGUAUGUGAACUAGAACCAAACUCAGCUCCUAUGCAAGAAUAGCAAACACUGUUAACACCGAGUCAAUCUCCAGUCCAUUGCUACAUACAUUCUUUAUAUACAUUCUUUCUUUAUAUACAUUAUAUACACUCUUUAUAUACAUACUUUCACGUUUUUCAGUCCAUUGCUAUAUACAUUCUUUAUAUACAUUCUUUCACGUUUUCAGUCCAUUGCUAUAUACACUCUUUAUAUACAUACUUUCACGUUUUUCAGUCCAUUGCUAUAUACAUUCUUUAACAUUCUUUAUAUACAUUAUAUACAUUCUUUCUUUCAUGUUUUCAGAUGAACAUAAGGGUUCAGUUCACUUAGUGCUAUAUUAGACUUUGUCACUCUCACCAAACAUUAAUGGAAAGAAGAUCAAAGACAAAACGUUUAUUUUAGCUCACAGCUUCAGGGCUUUGGUCCAUGGUUGGCUGCUGCAUUGGCCACGAAACAGGAAUGUGACAGUAGAAGGGCAUGGUGGGUGAAAGCUGCUCAACUUUUAGAAGUGUGGAAACAGAUAGGACUUACAGCAAGAGAAAAAGCACAGCCCAGUGACCUCUUUCAGCUCACCUCCUAAAGUCUCCAGCACUUCCAACUGUCCCAAUAAUGCUACCCACUGAGACUAAGCCUUUGGUGCAGGGAUCUCUAGGAGUUACUCUUGAUCUGAACCAUAACAGGUACCGACUUUCUUCUAACUAUCGCUGAAAUGAGGUAGAUAUUCAGUGUUAUGUGUUAGGAUCAAAAACUAAACAACACCCCCUCCCGUGAAAACUCCACCAUUGUUGUUGAAUGGCAGAUUAGUGACUAUUAAAUGUGUAGAGAUGUGUUAGGAGAGUAUAAGGAUACCCUGGAAGGACAUUGAAAAAAAUGACCUUACAUUUGCUUGUUUAUUUGUAUGUAUGUAUGUAUGUAUGUAUGUAUGUAUGUAUGUAUGUAUGUGUGCACAUCUGUCACGGCACAUGUGUGGAAGGUUGUAGGAGUUAGAUCUCUCUUGUCAAGUUUGGCCCAAUAUGCAGUCAUCUCACCAGCCAUGGAAGGCAUUUUACUCACAUUAAUAGUCAGAGAAGUAGGAACUAAAUGCUUAAGUCCUUAUGCAAACUUAAUUCAAUGGUUAUAAAACCUUUUUAAAAAAGGAUUUAUUUAUUUAUGUGGUGUGUUUGUGUGUGUGUGUGUGUGUGUGUGUGUGUGUGUGUGUGUAGCAUGUGCAGGUGCCCACGAGGCCAGAAGAGAGUCAGAUCACUUGGGGCUGGAAUUAUCAGAGGUUGUGAGCCACCUAGUAUGUAUGCUAGGGACCUAAGCAGGGUCUUCUGGAAGAGUGGCAAGCAUUCUGCAUCUCUGAGUUCUUUCUAGCCCUCUAUAAACACUUUAACUGCCUUUAGACUUGAUACGUUUAAUAUGCUUGCUUCUCUUUAAGCAUUCAAAUGUUGUGAUUUUACAGCCAGCACUCUUUGAGUUCUUAACCUCUUCUUAUAAACCUAAUUAAACACAUAUUUGAAAUGUAGCUCAUCUAAAGCACUUCAAUGUUGUGGGAAACUGUUAAAAUCCUUUAUUAUGUUUCCAUUAAUCUGAAGUUUAACAUAAAUUAAAAUUACAAGCGUAGUUUGUUGACAUGUGAAACUUAUAAGCAUAAUAAACACAACAUUAACUAACUACAAAAUUCUGUCUAAGUGAUUAUAUACUGAUUCUUAAAUUUACCAUCGAAGGUUUAAAAUAUCAUGGUUUUGAUUUGGAAUCACGAUGUUGCUGCUUAAAACUAAAUAUUCACAGUGUCCUUGUGCCCACGGUGAUCUAGAGUGACCGCCAGUAAUGGUAGCCUUGUUUUAUGAAGUGAGGUAGGUGACUUGCAUAGCUAGAAGUCAGGACAAGGUGAUAGGUGUCAUUUGUGUCUAGUGUCAUGCUCUCCCCAUGGUUGGUAAGGGAUCUUUUGAUGUAGCCCUGCCACUAAGGGCUUGCUUCUGCCCUGAAUCCUCUCCUUUUCUGUUUAAGACAGGUGCAUUUCCCUCCUUUCAAACAGUCUUCCCACCUUUUCAUUGAAAGAUUUACCCUUUUUUUUUUUUUUUAAUCUCUCUUCCUAUUGGUGAGGUCUGAACUCUGUUUUCCAGGCUAAAAUGGCCUUCUAAUUGGCUUUAUAUCCCAUCCGUCUAUGUCCUUAGCCAGACUGUUCUCAAUAUUGCUUUUGAUUACUCAGCUCACAUGAGGCUCUGCCUUAGGACCUUCAGGUGUCUGUUGCCCCAUCCUCUCCUUUCUGACAUCAAGUAUUAGAAUGUCCAUCUUUCACCUGUCAGUCACAGCUCUCUCAGCUCUCUCUGCUCAUGGUUUGCCUCUUCAAAGUUUCUCUAAUCACCUUUUGUGAUGUGUGCUUCCUCUUGUCAUCCUCCCUCUUUCUGACCUACUCCCAGACAUUCUAUGGUCUCUUCACUAGAAAAUAUUGUCCUUACUGAUUACUGGCCUUCUUGCAAAUAAUUUAUUUAUCAUACAGUUGUAUUGCAGUGACUUCAGCUUCCUGAUACUUGCUGGCACUAAUGUGUUCAGCAGCGUAUGAGUCAGAUGUACAUGUUGAGUGAAGAAAGAAUGGCUCCUAUUUAGAAGGAAAGCCCAGACGAAAGCAGUGGAUUUACCUAUCUGGUUUAUAGCUGCAUGGUAGCACCUCUGCUAUACCAGGCUCUGAUACAUUCUGAAUGAAUGAUGGGCAGUUUUCUAUUUGGAACUCUGUGUGACAUUUCAAAUCCUAGUUUUAACUCUGUCUUAGUUAGUGUUUUAUUGCUCUGAAGAGACACCAUGACCAAGACAAUUUGUAUAAUGGUAAACAUUUAAUUGGGUCUGGCUUACAGUUUCCGAGGUUCAGUCCAUUAUCCUCAUAGUGAGGAAACAUGGAAGUAUGCAGGCAGACUUGGUGUUGGGCAGCCAGGAGAAAACAGACUCUUCUGCAGGCAGCCAAGAGAAGGCUCUCUUUAACACUGGGUGGAGCCUGAGCUUAGAACCUCAAAAUCCAACCCCACAGUGUUGAAUUUUCCCUCACAAGGCCAUACCUACUCCACCAAGGCCACACCUCUAAAUAGUGCCACUUCCCAUGGGCCAAGUAUAUUCAAACCCAGAUUUAACUGACCAUGUUUUCUGCAUGAUGGAUAACUGAUCUUUCACCUCCCUAGCCCCAGUGAUAGUAUAGUCAAAGGAGUUUUGUAAGGUAUACCUGGGAGGCUGAGUUAAAGUAACUGUGAUCACUCAGUUAGCUUUUUGGCUUGAUUUUUUUCUUUUGUCUUACAUUUUUAUGUCAAGAGAAAAACAGAAGACCAUUAUUGUAAGCACAAAGCCAAGAAUAAGAUGGAAUACUUAAAAUGAUUGUAGGACUUAUCAUUGCUAAAGUAACUUGUCAUCUCUGGCAAAGAACUGACAUUAAACACUGCCAUUUAUAAAAUGAUUUUAUGUACAGAGUAAUUUAUAGUAAAACUCACAGUAUUUAAAGUAAGAUAAGUAUGUUCAAAAGGAAUAGACCUGAAAAUCCCUAAGUAAAAUUGCCUUUGAAAAAUAUCAG
ensembl:sense_intronic